GAUGAACGCUGGCGGCGUGCCUAAUACAUGCAAGUCGUGCGAACGGACGAGAAGCUUGCUUCUCUGAUGUUAGCGGCGGACGGGUGAGUAACACGUGGAUAACCUACCUAUAAGACUGGGAUAACUUCGGGAAACCGGAGCUAAUACCGGAUGAUAUUUUGAACCGCAUGGUUCAAAAGUGAAAGACGGUCUUGCUGUCACUUAUAGAUGGAUCCGCGCUGCAUUAGCUAGUUGGUAAGGUAACGGCUUACCAAGGCAACGAUGCAUAGCCGACCUGAGAGGGUGAUCGGCCACACUGGAACUGAGACACGGUCCAGACUCCUACGGGAGGCAGCAGUAGGGAAUCUUCCGCAAUGGGCGAAAGCCUGACGGAGCAACGCCGCGUGAGUGAUGAAGGUCUUCGGAUCGUAAAACUCUGUUAUUAGGGAAGAACAUAUGUGUAAGUAACUGUGCACAUCUUGACGGUACCUAAUCAGAAAGCCACGGCUAACUACGUG
rnacentral:rRNA from 1 species